UACGUAGGUGACAAGCGUUGUCCGGAAUUAUUGGGCGUAAAGGGAGCGCAGGCGGUUGGAAUAGUCUGAUGUGAAAGCCCACGGCUUAACCGUGGAAUUGCAUUGGAAACUGUCCAACUUGAAUGCAGAAGAGGAAAGCGGAAUUCCAUGUGUAGCGGUGAAAUGCGUAGAUAUAUGGAGGAACACCAGUGGCGAAGGCGGCUUUCUGGUCUGUGAUUGACGCUGAGGCUCGAAAGCGUGGGGAGCGAACAGGAUUAGAUACCCCGGUAGUCC
rnacentral:rRNA from 1 species